rnacentral:rRNA from 1 species
UACGAAGGGGGCUAGCGUUGUUCGGAUUUACUGGGCGUAAAGCGCACGUAGGCGGAUCGUUAAGUCGGGGGUGAAAUCCUGGAGCUCAACUCCAGAACUGCCUUCGAUACUGGCGAUCUUGAGUCCGGAAGAGGUGAGUGGAACUCCUAGUGUAGAGGUGGAAUUCGUAGAUAUUCGCAAGAACACCAGUGGCGAAGGCGGCUCACUGGCUCGAUACUGACGCUGAGGUGCGAAAGCGUGGGGAGCAAACAGG